GCUUACGGCCAUACCACCCUGAGGACGCCCGAUCUCGUCUGUUCUCUGAAGCUAAGCAGGGUCGGGCCUGGUUAGUACUUGGAUGGGAGACCGCCUGGGAAUACCAGGUUGCUGUAAGCU
ensembl:rRNA 5S_rRNA 5S ribosomal RNA